rnacentral:rRNA from 1 species
GGGGUGAGGACAGUGUCUGGUGGGUAGUUUGACUGGGGCGGUCUCCUCCCAAAGAGUAACGGAGGAGCACGAAGGUUAGCUAAUCACGGUCGGACAUCGUGAGGUUAGUGCAAAGGCAUAAGCUAGCUUGACUGCGAGAGUGACGGCUCGAGCAGGUACGAAAGUAGGUCUUAGUGAUCCGGUGGUUCUGAAUGGAAGGGCCAUCGCUCAACGGAUAAAAGGUACUCCGGGGAUAACAGGCUGAUACCGCCCAAGAGUUCAUAUCGACGGCGGUGUUUGGCACCUCGAUGUCGGCUCAUCACAUCCUGGGGCUGAAGUAGGUCCCAAGGGUAUGGCUGUUCGCCAUUUAAAGUGGUACGCGAGCUGGGUUUAGAACGUCGUGAGACAGUUCGGUCCCUAUCUGCCGUGGGCGUUGGAAGAUUGAGAGGGGUUGCUCCUAGUACGAGAGGACCGGAGUGAACGCACCACUGGUGUUCGGGUUGUCAUGCCAAUGGCAUUGCCCGGUAGCUAAGUGCGGAAAAGAUAAGCGCUGAAAGCAUCUAAGCGCGAAACUUGCCUCAAGAUGAGUCUUCCCUGGGCCUUCAAGGCCCCUGAAGGAACGUUUAAGACUAAGACGUUGAUAGGCUGGGUGUGUAAGUGCAGCGAUGCAUUGAGCUAACCAGUACUAAUGAUCCGUGAGGCUUAACCUUACAACACCGAAGGUGUUU